rnacentral:rRNA from 1 species
CCUGGUUGAUCCUACUAGUAGUCAUAUGCAAGUCUCAAAGAUUAAGCCAUGCAAUUCUCUGUACAGGCAGAAUUAAGGUGAAACUGCGAUUGGCUUAUUAAGUCAGUAAUGGUUUUUGAGAUCGUACCGAAACUUUCUUGGAUAACAGUUGUAAAUAGAGAACUAAUACAUGCAAACGAGUAUUCUAUCAGUGAUGGAAGGAAUGCUGUAAUUAGGUCAAAACCAAUCGGAGGCGGAUUGGUCGUUGUCCGUUCAUCACUUGCUUUGGUGACACUGAAUAACUUUAUGCGGAUCUCGUGGUCAUCUAGCACCGACGACACAUAUUUCAAAUGUCUGUCUUUCAACUGUCGAUAGUAGGUCUACGCCUACCAUGGUUGUAACGGGUAACGGGGAAUUAGUUUUCGAUUCCGGUGAAAGAGCCUGAGAGACAGGUACCACAUUCGAGGCAGCAGGUACGCAAAUUACACUCCCGGCACGGGAAAUAGGGACGAAUUAUGACGAUACGGGACUCAACCGAGAUCCUGUAAUCAGAAUGAGUACAAAAUAAAUCUUUUAAAGAGGGCCAAUUGUAUGGCGCAAGUCUUGUGCUUGCAAUCACGAUAAUUUCAACUCAGUUAGCGUACACUAAAGCUAUUGCGGUUGAAUCGCAAUAGCUUGUAGUUGAAUCUGUGUGUCACAGUGUCGGUUCACCGCUCGUGGUGUCUAUGUGUAUCAUUAUGUGAUACGUACUACCGGUGGGUUUAGCUCUUUGCGGGCGGUCCAACUAAUCUCCCACUGCUCUUCACUGAAUGUCGAGGUGGGCCGAUACGUUAACUUUGAACAAGUUAGAGUGCUUAUAGUAGUCUAUCUUCGCCUGAUUACAUCGUACAAGGAAUAGUGGUAUAGGACCUCAGUUAUAUUUUGUUGGUUUUCGGAGCCCCUAAAUAAUUAUUAGUGGAGGUUCUGAACUUGUAUUGCAACGUUACAGGUGAAAUUCUUGGAUCGUCCUAAAACGGACAGAAACGAAAGCAUUUGCCAAAAAUGUUUUCAUUAAUCAAAAACGAUGAUAGAGGUUCGAAGGCGAUCAGAUGCUGUCCUAGAUCUAACCAUAAAUUAUGCCAGCCAGCGAUCCGCCGAAGUAGUUCUUCAGACUACUCGGCGGCCAUUUUCUGGAAAACCGAAGACUUUGCAUCAGGGGAAAUAUGGUUGCAAAUAUGAUGCUUAAAGGAAUUGACAAAAGGGCAACACCAGUAGUGGAGCCUGCGGCUUAAUAUGACUCAACACGGGAAACCUCACCAGGCCAAGACACCAGAAGGAUUUACCGACUGAUAGUUCUUUCUUGAUUCGUUUGGUGAUAGAGCGUGACCGUUCUUAGUUGGUGGAGUUACUUGUCAGGUCAAUUCGGAUAACGAACGAGACUGUAGCUUGCUAAACAUACGUAACUUAUGAUAUCUCGAAGGCCCCCGGAUUCGAUUGGUGGAUUUCUACUACCAACGUACAGAUAUAUCUUCUUAGUAGCCGUCAGGAACGGACGGCUUCUAGUAGUACGCGAUGGAGCGUAACAGGUCUGCCUGUUGAUGCCCUUAGAUGUUCUGGUUCGCACGCGUGCUUCAUUGAAGGUAUCAGUCUGGUUUUCCUGGCCGAAAGGCCCGGGUAACCUGC